ACAGUCUGAAAAUUGCCCUGGACAUGUCCGUUAUCUGGGGUGAGAUAACUGUGCCUACAGAAAAUGGGUACAUUAAGCUUAUUGCCUGCUUUUAUAGCAGUGGAAUGAAACCCAUGUAUCCACAGUU